GAUUUAUUCUAGUCAGUUCAGUCGGAAGCUGAUAUAAAUUAACGGAGCUCUUUUGCUGUGAACAUUUGAUUUGGUUCAAAAGUGUCUCUUAAGGUAGAAUAAUUGCAGACACUGUCAGAUAAGUUUAAAGCUAUUCACAGUUAGGGUCUGUGUCAGAUUAACGAAACUGGUUUCUAAAUUGAUUUGGUUAUCGUUACGUAAAUUCCACAGACUGUGUCUAACUUAGGUGGCUGGUGCAGGCUUUUAGCACAGAAUAGCAGGGAACUUCAUUUGUAACCUUUUCCCACACGCAAAGUUCUGCAGGAGAAGAUUGAAAGCAUGUGAAGUGAGGAAGCUCCAUCAGAGCCUGAACCUCCAGAAUUUGUGAUGGAAUAGCAACACAGAAGGAUGUAGUCAACAUCUUUCACACAAGAAUUAUGAGUGAUUGAGGCCAAGAAACCAUUAAAUGAGGUGAAAGGUCUGGGCUAGAGGGCAUCUUGAGCAAGUCUAAUGAAGUCAUGGUUGCUUCAGUGGCCACGUUCCCAAGGGAUUUUGCUGUGUCUGUCACUGCAUCUCUGUUCCUCCUCUGGAUCUGGCUCCCUGGGCUUUGCUGUUACGUUCCAGGAACCCUGCGUAGCCCUACACCAGCAGCUCGGUGGCGUGUAGCAUCCCUGUGUCAGAACAAAGACAUGUGGGACAUGAUUUAGCUCAGCCAACAUUUGGUGUCUGUCAUACAGACAUUUACCUGUGGGCUGGUCUUGCCUGCCUGCCUUUAUUGUCAGCAAAGAGCGGCAGGAGCUUACAAGGCACAAUUUAGCUCAACCGAGUGUGAAUUUCUAAUAUAUGCUAAAAGUGCCAAUUUAUCUGUGACUUAAAAUGGAGUCCUAAGGUGAUUAACUCACAAAUGGACGCCUACAGUUUAAAUAUCUCCAUUUGUUCAAUGAACUCUACCCACACAAUGAGCAUUACUCCAGUGCAAACUAUAUAUUAGAGCUUUCUCUGCUGUGUUUGGGCUUAUCCCUUCAUGCAUCUUGUAUUUAAGCCUGUAUCCAGGACUACAGCAAAAUAACUGAAAUGGUUUAGCUUGUGUCCCAACAUGAGCAAGUGGCCUAGGAAGUGCAUGAUGUUUACCUUAUUGUCCUACCCUCUCCUCUUUGCCAUUCCUUUGCAUUACCCUGACCACCCUGCCUCAGCCGCACAGCUCCACUCAUGACUUUGUGUGUCAGAGGCAAGUCUGUUCAACAACAAAAGAAACCCCUGCACCAAGGGUCGGAGCCGGAUGACUGAUCAACAUGGGAGGGCAUGCUCUGCUCCUCUGUACCUAAGUAAACUUCAUCUG
rnacentral:lncRNA from 1 species